ACAGUGUCAGAAUGAGGGGACACAGCUCAUAAAUUAAAAAGGAAAAAAUUACCAGAAGAAACAAAGAAUUAUGCCAACUAGUUAGUGGCAUACAUGAUACAUCUUGUAAUAAGUGAUAGAUGAUGAAAAAGGAAAAUGCUUCGAUCUCAUUAAAGAAACCAGAUUGCAAAGUCUACAAAUUUGAUGUAUCAAUGGUGAUGCAACAUGGCAUUCUAAGAUGGUACAGAUAUUGAAAUUCAAUCCGAUGGCAAGGGCCACUAUUAUGUAUGAUGUCAAAACCUGAAUUGUCCAUACUACAAUCUACAGAUGUCUUAAGCAGUAAACACAAAAUAAGUUUUUUAACCAACACAAGAAGUUCAGACAUUAAAUGUUAGGAUGUGAAUGUGCUAAUUCACUUGGUUUAACCUAAUCCUACCACCAAUGCUAUACCAAACAUUGAUAUUCAUAAAUAUUGCCAGAAUUAAAUUCAUAACAGCAUUAUAUAUUUCAUAAAAUCAAUCAAAUACAGAAAAUAGAAUCCCAGUGAUCUUCAAACUCCAAGAUUGACAUGUUCCCAUCUACAUAAUGGUAUAAAAUGUGUUUUA
rnacentral:misc_RNA from 1 species